ensembl:lncRNA
CCCUUCCAGGACCCUUAUAACCCACCCCAAUAGCCCUUUACCCUUCCAGGACCCUUAUAACCCAUUCAAAGCCCCAUUUUCCCCUUCCAGGACCUUCCCAACCCAUUCAAUGCCCCUUUAACCUUCCAGGACCCUCCCAUUCAUUUAAUGCCCCUUUAACCUUCCAGGACCUUCCCAACCCAACUCAACUACUCCAUGCUGUGACCUUCCAGGACCUUCCCAUCCCAUUCAAUGCCCCAUUUUCCCCUUCCAGGACCCUUAUAACCCAUUUAAUGCCCCAUUUUCCCCUUCCAGGACCCUUAUAACCCAUCCAAUGCCCCUUUACCCUUCCAGGACCCUCCCAACCCAACCACCCCAAAGCCCCUUUAACCUUCCAGGACCCUUCUAACCCAAUUAACCUACCCCAAAGCCCCUU